rnacentral:rRNA from 1 species
UGAGGAAUACAUCGGAAUCUACUUUUUCGUGGGGGAUAACGUAGGGAAACUUACGCUAAUACCGCAUACGACCUACGGGUGAAAGCAGGGGAUCUUCGGACCUUGCGCGAUUGAAUGAGCCGAUGUCGGAUUAGCUAGUUGGCGGGGUAAAGGCCCACCAAGGCGACGAUCCGUAGCUGGUCUGAGAGGAUGAUCAGCCACACUGGAACUGAGACACGGUCCAGACUCCUACGGGAGGCAGCAGUGGGGAAUAUUGGACAAUGGGCGCAAGCCUGAUCCAGCCAUACCGCGUGGGUGAAGAAGGCCUUCGGGUUGUAAAGCCCUUUUGUUGGGAAAGAAAUCCAGCUCGGUUAAUACCCGUGUUGGGAGUGACGGUACCCAAAGCAAUAAUCACCGGGCUAACUUCGUGCCAGCAGCCGC